rnacentral:rRNA from 1 species
UCCGUUAUUGAUUAUGACGUACUUGUACUGAUUGAGAUUUUAACACGAAGUGAGUGGCGAACGGGUGAGUAACACGUGGGUAACCUGCCCAGAAGUAGGGGAUAACACCUGGAAACAGAUGCUAAUACCGUAUAACAGAGAAAACCGCAUGGUUUUCUUUUAAAAGAUGGCUCUGCUAUCACUUCUGGAUGGACCCGCGGCGUAUUAGCUAGUUGGUGAGGCAAAGGCUCACCAAGGCAGUGAUACGUAGCCGACCUGAGAGGGUAAUCGGCCACAUUGGGACUGAGACACGGCCCAGACUCCUACGGGAGGCAGCAGUAGGGAAUCUUCCACAAUGGACGCAAGUCUGAUGGAGCAACGCCGCGUGAGUGAAGAAGGGUUUCGGCUCGUAAAGCUCUGUUGUUAAAGAAGAACGUGGGUAAGAGUAACUGUUUACCCAGUGACGGUAUUUAACCAGAAAGCCACGGCUAACUACGUGCCAGCAGCCGCGGUAAUACGUAGGUGGCAAGCGUUAUCCGGAUUUAUUGGGCGUAAAGCGAGCGCAGGCGGUCUUUUAAGUCUAAUGUGAAAGCCUUCGGCUCAACCGAAGAAGUGCAUUGGAAACUGGGAGACUUGAGUGCAGAAGAGGACAGUGGAACUCCAUGUGUAGCGGUGAAAUGCGUAGAUAUAUGGAAGAACACCAGUGGCGAAGGCGGCUGUCUGGUCUGCAACUGACGCUGAGGCUCGAAAGCAUGGGUAGCGAACAGGAUUAGAUACCCUGGUAGUCCAUGCCGUAAACGAUGAUUACUAAGUGUUGGAGGGUUUCCGCCCUUCAGUGCUGCAGCUAACGCAUUAAGUAAUCCGCCUGGGGAGUACGACCGCAAGGUUGAAACUCAAAAGAAUUGACGGGGGCCCGCACAAGCGGUGGAGCAUGUGGUUUAAUUCGAAGCUACGCGAAGAACCUUACCAGGUCUUGACAUCUUCUGACAGUCUAAGAGAUUAGAGGUUCCCUUCGGGGACAGAAUGACAGGUGGUGCAUGGUUGUCGUCAGCUCGUGUCGUGAGAUGUUGGGUUAAGUCCCGCAACGAGCGCAACCCUUAUUACUAGUUGCCAGCAUUAAGUUGGGCACUCUAGUGAGACUGCCGGUGACAAACCGGAGGAAGGUGGGGACGACGUCAAAUCAUCAUGCCCCUUAUGACCUGGGCUACACACGUGCUACAAUGGAUGGUACAACGAGUCGCGAGACCGCGAGGUUAAGCUAAUCUCUUAAAACCAUUCUCAGUUCGGACUGUAGGCUGCAACUCGCCUACACGAAGUCGGAAUCGCUAGUAAUCGCGGAUC